UUUGCUGAAUGUGAACGUCCAGCCCCUCAGAUGAACUCUUCUCUCUGCAGCUUCAUCUUUCAUCUCUUGUUCAAUAUGCUGCCCUUGAUCUGCAGCUGAUGUUAUAAUAAUCAUUAUGAACUCUGUUUCAUGUCAACAUGCUCGCAGCAGGAGGAGAGCGCUCAGCCGCCACGAGAAACCUUCGUUAAACAGCGUCCACGAGAAGAAGACGAUGGCGAGCGGCGGUGUUCAGGACGCCACUGCCAAUGUCUUAGAUUGAAAUGAUUCGGAGGGGAGAGCGAGGAGUCGAUGUUUGGUUUUUCCUGCAGAACCGGGCCGGAUGUUCAACAGGCAGCUGGAGUCAAGAGGAGGACAGAAGGAAGACUAAAUGCACAAGGUUCAAAAUAUGUGUUAAAGUCUCACUGAGAGGUGAAGGUUCCUCGUCCUGCAGCCUCAGAGUGUCAGAAAUCACCUUCUCUCACACACAGCACCACGAUUCAAAGAGCUCCGGCAGAAAAAUACCACAAAAACAUCUUUUGCCCCGGGACACCUCCACCCGAAGAUGUGAUGGAGGAAGAAACAGAAGAAAGUCUCCUCAGAGACACACAGACGAGGAGGAGGAGUGACGACAGCAGCUCUGUCUGGAACAUGUCGAGUGUCACCUUCUGGAUUUCCAGAACAGAACCAACAAAAACACGUCGGCGUCUCACAGAAACCUCGCUGACCAGCAGAACUGGAGAUUUGAUGGCUGAGAUGCAUUCUGAUGUUUCAGGUGAUGAAACACGAUCUUCUCUCCAGGUGUUUUCUUUGUGUCAGCUGAUGUGUCUCCUAAUGAGCAGAGGAAACAGUCAGAGCUCCAUCCAAACACAACAUACAACACAGACUCACAACCCGUUCACCACAAUGAACCCUGAACAGGAACACAGCUGGAUGAGUCCUGACUCUGGAUCCUCUGGUGUCACUCUGACAACUGUGGAAACUCACACAUGUACAGUGAAAUAUAUGAAAUAUGUAAUAUGGAGGUCUGGCUGGUCUGCAGAGGCGUUACAGUCUGCAGGUGAACGUGAAGCGUCUUAAAGCCGACAGGUCCUUUUUAUGUAGAACAGUUCUGACGUCUCUCACCUUUAUCAGACGGAGAGACGUUUAUCAGAGACAGGAGUCCUGAUCCGGUCGCCUCUGAUAUCAGAGAUGAACACAUGCAGUCGGUGUGUGUGAGCUCACGUCCACCAGCUCCUGUCUGAUGAUCCACAGCUGAUAUUAUGACCAUCAGCUGAUCACAGAGACGACUGCUGGACGUUGAGCAUAAUUCAAGUCACCAGGAUGUAAAGUUAGCAGUUCUGCUGCGUCACAUAUUGACAAGUCACGUUCUCAUCACAUGUUCGAUACCUGACUUCACAUCAGGAAGUAACACGAGGUGAAUAUCUGGUGGAUCUCAGGUCAGACGAUCAUGACGGAUGCUGGAUGUGCUCGUACCACUUUUGUCCACAGAGGCCGCCACAAUCAACAGAACCUGAAGCUUGUCAGGCAGCUACGUGCAGCUCGCCACAGUUUAAUCCUGGACUGUAUUUAUCUGCAGCCGCUCCGUCACCAGGCUGGACUCGUCGCCGACCAGCAGAAGAUAUCAGAGCUGUCGCUUCGUACGUUUUCACCCACUCGCCCGCUUGUAAUUACCGUCUGAACAACACGACACAAACACAUUUACCCCAGAAGAAUCUGCCGUCUUCACCACGUGUGAUUGAGCGAUACAUGAAGCGCCGGCUCGGAGUCUGUGAUUGUAUUUGAAUACUCGUCUUUAUUCCCUCGGCUGGAGUGUCCGUCUGUAAUUUGUUUGUAUCUGUGAAUGUCAGCUGCUGUCUGCCGUGGAGUCUGAUCAGUCUGGCAUCUUUAAAAGCUCAGCCUGACAAGUAAAUAGCUGAAAAUUGCCUCAGAAGAGUUUUGUUCGGGGCUUUUGUUUUGAUUUCUGCUGAAAUUACAUUCCUUUUAGGAAAUGGCAGGAAGAUAGCUGCUGGAGGAGCCGGCGUGGCGUGAGGCGACCCUCGUUUAAACCCGGGACAUUUCAACACUGCGUCGUUGUCUUUGGCAUAAUGUCAGCCAUUUCCUCUCCUCCGGACGUGCAGAUAGAGGGCUGAUGAUGAUAACGGCUCAAAAUAUUGCUCUCACAUAUUAUAACAACACGGAGCGCCGUGUCGGCCUCCAUCCUGAACGCUGGAGUUUUACACUCCACCUGUGUGUUAAAGCUGCCUGAAGACGCUGAUCUGCUCCAUCGCCCGGCGUGUUCUCGUCCGCCU